AUCAGGUUCAUGAAACAACACUGGCACUUUAGCUUAAACAAGAUCAUUUUUGUAACUUCUUGUAUAAAAACGAGUAAGCCUCGCAUGUAUUUUAGUAAUAUAUUUUCUGCUUCAUAUAGAGAGAAAUAUUAGGAGGAAGUUUUUCCAUUCAGAAGGUGGUGACACACUGGAACAGGCUGCUCAGGGAGGCUGUGGAUACCCCAUCCCUGGAGUCAUUCAAGACCAGGCUGGAUGUGGCCCUGGGCAGCCUGGUCUGGUGGUUGGUGACCCUACACAUAGCAUGGGAGUUGGAACUAGAUGAUCACUGUGUUCCUUUUCAACCCAGGACUUUUCUGAGGCCAUUAGAAAAGAAUAAACCUGUCCAGCAGGUCAAUCAUGUUUUUCUCUUCUAGGAUAUUUUCUGUUGUUACUAAUAUUAAGCAGUCGAGAGACACUGAUGGCCAUGGAAGAGACUAUAUUAAAAGAAAAAUGCAGCUUUACAGAACUUUGUUUUCAACCAACAUUAGCAUACAAAUAUUAAACAAGAAUUUCACUUCUCUACAUUCUUGUCACUUGUGAUGAAUACAUCCUUGCUCGGUAAGUGCUGG
rnacentral:lncRNA from 1 species